GGGUUGUGAGGUUAAGCGACUAAGCGUACACGGUGGAUGCCCUGGCAGUCAGAGGCGAUGAAGGACGUGCUAAUCUGCGAUAAGCGUCGGUGAGGUGAUAUGAACCGUUAUAACCGGCGAUUUCCGAAUGGGGAAACCCAGUGUGUUUCGACACACUAUCAUUAACUGAAUCCAUAGGUUAAUGAGGCGAACCGGGGGAACUGAAACAUCUAAGUACCCCGAGGAAAAGAAAUCAACCGAGAUUCCCCCAGUAGCGGCGAGCGAACGGGGAGGAGCCCAGAGCCUGAAUCAGUGUGUGUGUUAGUGGAAGCGUCUGGAAAGGCGCGCGAUACAGGGUGACAGCCCCGUACACAAAAAUGCACAUAUUGUGAGCUCGAUGAGUAGGGCGGGACACGUGGUAUCCUGUCUGAAUAUGGGGGGACCAUCCUCCAAGGCUAAAUACUCCUGACUGACCGAUAGUGAACCAGUACCGUGAGGGAAAGGCGAAAAGAACCCCGGCGAGGGGAGUGAAAAAGAACCUGAAACCGUGUACGUACAAGCAGUGGGAGCCUCUUAAUGGGGUGACUGCGUACCUUUUGUAUAAUGGGUCAGCGACUUAUAUUCUGUAGCAAGGUUAACCGAAUAGGGGAGCCGAAGGGAAACCGAGUCUUAACUGGGCGUUAAGUUGCAGGGUAUAGACCCGAAACCCGGUGAUCUAGCCAUGGGCAGGUUGAAGGUUGGGUAACACUAACUGGAGGACCGAACCGACUAAUGUUGAAAAAUUAGCGGAUGACUUGUGGCUGGGGGUGAAAGGCCAAUCAAACCGGGAGAUAGCUGGUUCUCCCCGAAAGCUAUUUAGGUAGCGCCUCGUGAAUUCAUCUCCGGGGGUAGAGCACUGUUUCGGCAAGGGGGUCAUCCCGACUUACCAACCCGAUGCAAACUGCGAAUACCGGAGAAUGUUAUCACGGGAGACACACGGCGGGUGCUAACGUCCGUCGUGAAGAGGGAAACAACCCAGACCGCCAGCUAAGGUCCCAAAGUCAUGGUUAAGUGGGAAACGAUGUGGGAAGGCCCAGACAGCCAGGAUGUUGGCUUAGAAGCAGCCAUCAUUUAAAGAAAGCGUAAUAGCUCACUGGUCGAGUCGGCCUGCGCGGAAGAUGUAACGGGGCUAAACCAUGCACCGAAGCUGCGGCAGCGACGCUUAUGCGUUGUUGGGUAGGGGAGCGUUCUGUAAGCCUGCGAAGGUGUGCUGUGAGGCAUGCUGGAGGUAUCAGAAGUGCGAAUGCUGACAUAAGUAACGAUAAAGCGGGUGAAAAGCCCGCUCGCCGGAAGACCAAGGGUUCCUGUCCAACGUUAAUCGGGGCAGGGUGAGUCGACUCCUAAGGCGAGGCCGAAAGGCGUAGUCGAUGGGAAACAGGUUAAUAUUCCUGUACUUGGUGUUACUGCGAAGGGGGGACGGAGAAGGCUAUGUUGGCCGGGCGACGGUUGUCCCGGUUUAAGCGUGUAGGCUGGUUUUCCAGGCAAAUCCGGAAAACCAAGGCUGAGGCGUGAUGACGAGGCACUACGGUGCUGAAGUGACAAAUGCCCUGCUUCCAGGAAAAGCCUCUAAGCAUCAGGUAACAUCAAAUCGUACCCCAAACCGACACAGGUGGUCAGGUAGAGAAUACCAAGGCGCUUGAGAGAACUCGGGUGAAGGAACUAGGCAAAAUGGUGCCGUAACUUCGGGAGAAGGCACGCUGAUAUGUAGGUGAAGCGACUUGCUCGUGGAGCUGAAAUCAGUCGAAGAUACCAGCUGGCUGCAACUGUUUAUUAAAAACACAGCACUGUGCAAACACGAAAGUGGACGUAUACGGUGUGACGCCUGCCCGGUGCCGGAAGGUUAAUUGAUGGGGUUAGCGGUAACGCGAAGCUCUUGAUCGAAGCCCCGGUAAACGGCGGCCGUAACUAUAACGGUCCUAAGGUAGCGAAAUUCCUUGUCGGGUAAGUUCCGACCUGCACGAAUGGCGUAAUGAUGGCCAGGCUGUCUCCACCCGAGACUCAGUGAAAUUGAACUCGCUGUGAAGAUGCAGUGUACCCGCGGCAAGACGGAAAGACCCCGUGAACCUUUACUAUAGCUUGACACUGAACAUUGAGCCUUGAUGUGUAGGAUAGGUGGGAGGCUUUGAAGUGUGGACGCCAGUCUGCAUGGAGCCGACCUUGAAAUACCACCCUUUAAUGUUUGAUGUUCUAACGUUGGCCCCUGAUCGGGGUUGCGGACAGUGUCUGGUGGGUAGUUUGACUGGGGCGGUCUCCUCCUAAAGAGUAACGGAGGAGCACGAAGGUUGGCUAAUCCUGGUCGGACAUCAGGAGGUUAGUGCAAUGGCAUAAGCCAGCUUGACUGCGAGCGUGACGGCGCGAGCAGGUGCGAAAGCAGGUCAUAGUGAUCCGGUGGUUCUGAAUGGAAGGGCCAUCGCUCAACGGAUAAAAGGUACUCCGGGGAUAACAGGCUGAUACCGCCCAAGAGUUCAUAUCGACGGCGGUGUUUGGCACCUCGAUGUCGGCUCAUCACAUCCUGGGGCUGAAGUAGGUCCCAAGGGUAUGGCUGUUCGCCAUUUAAAGUGGUACGCGAGCUGGGUUUAGAACGUCGUGAGACAGUUCGGUCCCUAUCUGCCGUGGGCGCUGGAGAACUGAGGGGGGCUGCUCCUAGUACGAGAGGACCGGAGUGGACGCAUCACUGGUGUUCGGGUUGUCAUGCCAAUGGCACUGCCCGGUAGCUAAAUGCGGAAGAGAUAAGUGCUGAAAGCAUCUAAGCACGAAACUUGCCCCGAGAUGAGUUCUCCCUGAGACUUUAAGUCUCCUGAAGGAACGUUGAAGACGACGACGUUGAUAGGCCGGGUGUGUAAGCGCAGCGAUGCGUUGAGCUAACCGGUACUAAUGAACCGUGAGGCUUAACCUUACAACGCCGAAG
rnacentral:rRNA from 1 species